rnacentral:tRNA from 1 species
CGCGGGGUGGAGUAACAGUAACUCGCAAGGCUCAUAACCUUGAGAUUCCGGGUGCGAUUCCCGGCCCCGCAACAA